CAUAAAUGAUGAACCUUUUUGACGGGCGGACAGAAACUCUGUGCUGAUUGUCAAGUUCUGAUAAUG